rnacentral:rRNA from 1 species
UUAAGCGACUAAGCGUACACGGUGGAUGCCCUGGCAGUCAGAGGCGAUGAAGGACGUGCUAAUCUGCGAAAAGCGUCGGUAAGGUGAUAUGAACCGUUAUAGCCGGCGAUGUCCGAAUGGGGAAACCCAGUGCAAUUCGUUGCACUAUCGUUAACUGAAUACAUAGGUUAACGAGGCGAACCGGGGGAACUGAAACAUCUAAGUACCCCGAGGAAAAGAAAUCAACCGAGAUUCCCCCAGUAGCGGCGAGCGAACGGGGAGCAGCCCAGAGUCUGAAUCAGCUUGUGUGUUAGUGGAACGGUCUGGAAAGUCCGACGGUACAGGGUGAUAGUCCCGUACACCAAAAUGCACAGGCUGUGAACUCGAAGAGUAGGGCGGGACACGUGGUAUCCUGUCUGAAUAUGGGGGGACCAUCCUCCAAGGCUAAAUACUCCUGACUGACCGAUAGUGAACCAGUACCGUGAGGGAAAGGCGAAAAGAACCCCGGCGAGGGGAGUGAAAAAGAACCUGAAACCGUGUACGUACAAGCAGUGGGAGCACCUUCGGGUGUGACUGCGUACCUUUUGUAUAAUGGGUCAGCGACUUAUAUUCUGUAGCAAGGUUAACCGUAUAGGGGAGCCGCAGGGAAACCGAGUCUUAACUGGGCGUUAAGUUGCAGGGUAUAGACCCGAAACCCGGUGAUCUAGCCAUGGGCAGGUUGAAGGUUGGGUAACACUAACUGGAGGACCGAACCGACUAAUGUUGAAAAAUUAGCGGAUGACUUGUGGCUGGGGGUGAAAGGCCAAUCAAACCGGGAGAUAGCUGGUUCUCCCCGAAAGCUAUUUAGGUAGCGCCUCGUGAACUCAUCUUCGGGGGUAGAGCACUGUUUCGGCUAGGGGGUCAUCCCGACUUACCAACCCGAUGCAAACUACGAAUACCGAAGAAUGUUAUCACGGGAGACACACGGCGGGUGCUAACGUCCGUCGUGAAGAGGGAAACAACCCAGACCGCCAGCUAAGGUCCCAAAGUCAUGGUUAAGUGGGAAACGAUGUGGGAAGGCACAGACAGCCAGGAUGUUGGCUUAGAAGCAGCCAUCAUUUAAAGAAAGCGUAAUAGCUCACUGGUCGAGUCGGCCUGCGCGGAAGAUGUAACGGGGCUAAACCAUGCACCGAAGCUGCGGCAGCGACACUAUGUGUUGUUGGGUAGGGGAGCGUUCUGUAAGCCUGCGAAGGUGUGCUGUGAGGCAUGCUGGAGGUAUCAGAAGUGCGAAUGCUGACAUAAGUAACGAUAAAGCGGGUGAAAAGCCCGCUCGCCGGAAGACCAAGGGUUCCUGUCCAACGUUAAUCGGGGCAGGGUGAGUCGACCCCUAAGGCGAGGCCGAAAGGCGUAGUCGAUGGGAAACAGGUUAAUAUUCCUGUACUUGGUGUUACUGCGAAGGGGGGACGGAGAAGGCUAUGUUAGCCGGGCGACGGUUGUCCCGGUUUAAGCAUGUAGGCUGGUUAUCCAGGCAAAUCCGGAUAAUCAAGGCUGAGGUGUGAUGACGAGGCACUACGGUGCUGAAGUAACAAAUGCCCUGCUUCCAGGAAAAGCCUCUAAGCAUCAGGUAACAUCAAAUCGUACCCCAAACCGACACAGGUGGUCAGGUAGAGAAUACCAAGGCGCUUGAGAGAACUCGGGUGAAGGAACUAGGCAAAAUGGUGCCGUAACUUCGGGAGAAGGCACGCUGGUGUGUAGGUGAAGCCCCUGCGGGUGGAGCUGAGACCAGUCGAAGAUACCAGCUGGCUGCAACUGUUUAUUAAAAACACAGCACUGUGCAAACACGAAAGUGGACGUAUACGGUGUGACGCCUGCCCGGUGCCGGAAGGUUAAUUGAUGGGGUUAUCCGUAAGGAGAAGCUCUUGAUCGAAGCCCCGGUAAACGGCGGCCGUAACUAUAACGGUCCUAAGGUAGCGAAAUUCCUUGUCGGGUAAGUUCCGACCUGCACGAAUGGCGUAAUGAUGGCCAGGCUGUCUCCACCCGAGACUCAGUGAAAUUGAACUCGCUGUGAAGAUGCAGUGUACCCGCGGCAAGACGGAAAGACCCCGUGAACCUUUACUAUAGCUUGACACUGAACAUUGAGCCUUGAUGUGUAGGAUAGGUGGGAGGCUUUGAAGCGUGGACGCCAGUCUGCGUGGAGCCAACCUUGAAAUACCACCCUUUAAUGUUUGAUGUUCUAACGUUGGCCCCUGACCGGGGUUGCGGACAGUGUCUGGUGGGUAGUUUGACUGGGGCGGUCUCCUCCCAAAGCGUAACGGAGGAGCACGAAGGUUAGCUAAUCCUGGUCGGACAUCAGGAGGUUAGUGCAAUGGCAUAAGCUAGCUUGACUGCGAGCGUGACGGCGCGAGCAGGUGCGAAAGCAGGUCAUAGUGAUCCGGUGGUUCUGAAUGGAAGGGCCAUCGCUCAACGGAUAAAAGGUACUCCGGGGAUAACAGGCUGAUACCGCCCAAGAGUUCAUAUCGACGGCGGUGUUUGGCACCUCGAUGUCGGCUCAUCACAUCCUGGGGCUGAAGUAGGUCCCAAGGGUAUGGCUGUUCGCCAUUUAAAGUGGUACGCGAGCUGGGUUUAGAACGUCGUGAGACAGUUCGGUCCCUAUCUGCCGUGGGCGCUGGAGAAUUGAGGGGGGCUGCUCCUAGUACGAGAGGACCGGAGUGGACGCAUCACUGGUGUUCGGGUUGUCAUGCCAAUGGCACUGCCCGGUAGCUAAAUGCGGAAGAGAUAAGUGCUGAAAGCAUCUAAGCACGAAACUUGCCCCGAGAUGAGUUCUCCCUGAGACUUUAAGUCUCCUGAAGGAACGUU